UACGUAGGUGGCAAGCGUUGUCCGGAUUUACUGGGUGUAAAGGGCGCGUAGGCGGAGAUACAAGUCAGGAGUGAAAUCCAUGGGCUCAACCCAUGAACUGCUUUUGAAACUGUAUCCCUUGAGUAUCGGAGAGGCAGGCGGAAUUCCCAGUGUAGCGGUGAAAUGCGUAGAUAUUGGGAGGAACACCAGUGGCGAAGGCGGCCUGCUGGACGACAACUGACGCUGAGGCGCGAAAGCGUGGGGAGCAAAC
rnacentral:rRNA from 1 species